UACGUAGGGGGCAAGCGUUGUCCGGAUUUAUUGGGCGUAAAGAGCGUGUAGGCGGCCAGACAGGUCCGUUGUGAAAACUCGAGGCUCAACCUCGAGAUGUCGAUGGAAACCGUCUGGCUAGAGUCCGGAAGAGGAGUGUGGAAUUCCUGGUGUAGCGGUGAAAUGCGCAGAUAUCGGGAGGAACACCUGUGGCGAAAGCGGCUCACUGGACCACAACUGACGCUGAGGCGCGAAAGCUAGGGGAGCAAACAGG
rnacentral:rRNA from 1 species